rnacentral:rRNA from 1 species
GUGGAUUGUUGCUGGCCUUUGGGUAUGUGCACAUCCUCCUCCGAUUUCUAUUCAUCCACCUGUGCACUUUUUGUAGGAGUUCUUUCAUCGGGUUUUUGAAGGUGCUCAUUAUGAGUUACUUGAAAAGACUAGUUGACAAGGCUUCUAUGUUCUUAUAAACCAUUGAAGUAUGUUAUAGAAUGAUCUUGUUAUUGGGACUUUAUUGACCCUUUAAACUUAAUACAACUUUCAGCAACGGAUCUCUUGGCUCUCCCAUCGAUGAAGAACGCAGCGAAAUGCGAUAAGUAAUGUGAAUUGCAGAAUUCAGUGAAUCAUCGAAUCUUUGAACGCACCUUGCGCCCUCUGGUAUUCCGGAGGGCAUGCCUGUUUGAGUGUCAUUAAAUUCUCAACUUUAUAAGUUUUUUACUUAUUAAAGCUUGGAUGUUGGAGGCUUGCAGGCGUUUGUCAGCUCCUCUUAAAUUUAUUAGUGGGAACCCUGUUUUGUUAGUUCUAACCUUGGUGUGAUAAUUAUCUACAUUUUGGUGGAACCUUACAAUAAUAAAGCUCUAUUGGUUUGGGUUGUUGCAUUUAGUUUGCUCAAUCUGUUCUAUUCAUUGGAGAAAAAGGGAAGUUCUGCUUUCUAACUGUCUUGAUUGACUAUAUAUAACUUAUUUGCUUGACCUCAUAUC